rnacentral:rRNA from 1 species
UCCCAAACUGGGAUUAGAUACCCCACUAUGCCUAGCCCUAAACCCAAACAUUUAAUCAACUAAAAUGUUCGCCAGAGCACUACUAGCAACAGCCUAAAACUUAAAGGACUUGGCGGUGCUUCACACCCUCCUAGAGGAACCUGUCCUAUAAUCGACAAACCCCGAUAA